rnacentral:rRNA from 1 species
UAUGUAGGGUGCAAGCGUUAAUCGGAAUUACUGGGCGUAAAGCGUGCGCAGGCGGCUUUGCAAGACAGAUGUGAAAUCCCCGGGCUUAACCUGGGAACUGCAUUUGUGACUGCAUGGCUGGAGUGCGGCAGAGGGGGAUGGAAUUCCGCGUGUAGCAGUGAAAUGCGUAGAUAUGCGGAGGAACACCGAUGGCGAAGGCAAUCCCCUGGGCCUGCACUGACGCUCAUGCACGAAAGCGUGGGGAGCAAACAGG